CCUACGGGAGGCAGCAGUGAGGAAUAUUGGUCAAUGGACGAGAGUCUGAACCAGCCAAGUAGCGUGAAGGAUGACUGCCCUAUGGGUUGUAAACUUCUUUUAUAUGGGAAUAAAAUGUUCCACGUGUGGGCGUUUGUAUGUACCAUAUGAAUAAGGAUCGGCUAACUCCGGGCCAGCAGCCGCGGUAAUACGGCGGAUCCGAGCGUUAUCCGGAUUUAUUGGGGUUAAAGGGAGCGUCGAUGGGUUGUUAAGUCAGUGGUGAACGUUUGCGGCUCAACCGUAAAAUUGCAAUUGAUACUGGCAGCCUUGAGUACAGUUGUGGUAGGCGGAAUUCGUGGUGUAGCGGUGAAAUGCUUAGAUAUCACGAAGAACUCCGAUUGCGAAGGCAGCUUACUAAACUGCCACUGACAUUGCUGCUCGAAAGUGUGGGUAUCAAACAGGAUUAGAUACCCCAGUAGUC
rnacentral:rRNA from 1 species